AAUUCGAUGCAACGCGAAGAACCUUACCAAGGCUUGACAUGUACGAGAACGCCCCAGAGAUGGGGUUCUCUUUGGACACUCGUACACAGGUGGUGCAUGGUUGUCGUCAGCUCGUGUCGUGAGAUGUUGGGUUAAGUCCCGCAACGAGCGCAACCCUUAUCCUAUGUUGCCAGCGGGUUAUGCCGGGGACUCAUGGGAGACUGCCGGGGUCAACUCGGAGGAAGGU
rnacentral:rRNA from 1 species